rnacentral:rRNA from 1 species
GGUUAAGCGACUAAGCGUACACGGUGGAUGCCCUGGCAGUCAGAGGCGAUGAAGGACGUGCUAAUCUGCGAAAAGCGUCGGUAAGGUGAUAUGAACCGUUAUAGCCGGCGAUGUCCGAAUGGGGAAACCCAGUGCAAUUCGUUGCACUAUCGUUAACUGAAUACAUAGGUUAACGAGGCGAACCGGGGGAACUGAAACAUCUAAGUACCCCGAGGAAAAGAAAUCAACCGAGAUUCCCCCAGUAGCGGCGAGCGAACGGGGAGCAGCCCAGAGUCUGAAUCAGCUUGUGUGUUAGUGGAACGGUCUGGAAAGUCCGACGGUACAGGGUGAUAGUCCCGUACACCAAAAUGCACAGGUUGUGAACUCGAAGAGUAGGGCGGGACACGUGGUAUCCUGUCUGAAUAUGGGGGGACCAUCCUCCAAGGCUAAAUACUCCUGACUGACCGAUAGUGAACCAGUACCGUGAGGGAAAGGCGAAAAGAACCCCGGCGAGGGGAGUGAAAAAGAACCUGAAACCGUGUACGUACAAGCAGUGGGAGCACCUUCGGGUGUGACUGCGUACCUUUUGUAUAAUGGGUCAGCGACUUAUAUUCUGUAGCAAGGUUAACCGUAUAGGGGAGCCGCAGGGAAACCGAGUCUUAACUGGGCGUUAAGUUGCAGGGUAUAGACCCGAAACCCGGUGAUCUAGCCAUGGGCAGGUUGAAGGUUGGGUAACACUAACUGGAGGACCGAACCGACUAAUGUUGAAAAAUUAGCGGAUGACUUGUGGCUGGGGGUGAAAGGCCAAUCAAACCGGGAGAUAGCUGGUUCUCCCCGAAAGCUAUUUAGGUAGCGCCUCGUGAAUUCAUCUUCGGGGGUAGAGCACUGUUUCGGCUAGGGGGUCAUCCCGACUUACCAACCCGAUGCAAACUACGAAUACCGAAGAAUGUUAUCACGGGAGACACACGGCGGGUGCUAACGUCCGUCGUGAAGAGGGAAACAACCCAGACCGCCAGCUAAGGUCCCAAAGUCAUGGUUAAGUGGGAAACGAUGUGGGAAGGCACAGACAGCCAGGAUGUUGGCUUAGAAGCAGCCAUCAUUUAAAGAAAGCGUAAUAGCUCACUGGUCGAGUCGGCCUGCGCGGAAGAUGUAACGGGGCUAAACCAUGCACCGAAGCUGCGGCAGCGACACGAUGUGUUGUUGGGUAGGGGAGCGUUCUGUAAGCCUGCGAAGGUGACCUGUGAGGGUUGCUGGAGGUAUCAGAAGUGCGAAUGCUGACAUAAGUAACGAUAAAGCGGGUGAAAAGCCCGCUCGCCGGAAGACCAAGGGUUCCUGUCCAACGUUAAUCGGGGCAGGGUGAGUCGACCCCUAAGGCGAGGCCGAAAGGCGUAGUCGAUGGGAAACAGGUUAAUAUUCCUGUACUUGGUGUUACUGCGAAGGGGGGACGGAGAAGGCUAUGUUAGCCGGGCGACGGUUGUCCCGGUUUAAGCAUGUAGGCUGGUUAUCCAGGCAAAUCCGGAUAAUCAAGGCUGAGGUGUGAUGACGAAGCACUACGGUGCUGAAGUAACAAAUGCCCUGCUUCCAGGAAAAGCCUCUAAGCAUCAGGUAACAUCAAAUCGUACCCCAAACCGACACAGGUGGUCAGGUAGAGAAUACCAAGGCGCUUGAGAGAACUCGGGUGAAGGAACUAGGCAAAAUGGUGCCGUAACUUCGGGAGAAGGCACGCUGGUGUGUAGGUGAAGCCCCUGCGGGUGGAGCUGAGACCAGUCGAAGAUACCAGCUGGCUGCAACUGUUUAUUAAAAACACAGCACUGUGCAAACACGAAAGUGGACGUAUACGGUGUGACGCCUGCCCGGUGCCGGAAGGUUAAUUGAUGGGGUUAUCCGUAAGGAGAAGCUCUUGAUCGAAGCCCCGGUAAACGGCGGCCGUAACUAUAACGGUCCUAAGGUAGCGAAAUUCCUUGUCGGGUAAGUUCCGACCUGCACGAAUGGCGUAAUGAUGGCCAGGCUGUCUCCACCCGAGACUCAGUGAAAUUGAACUCGCUGUGAAGAUGCAGUGUACCCGCGGCAAGACGGAAAGACCCCGUGAACCUUUACUAUAGCUUGACACUGAACAUUGAGCCUUGAUGUGUAGGAUAGGUGGGAGGCUUUGAAGCGUGGACGCCAGUCUGCGUGGAGCCAACCUUGAAAUACCACCCUUUAAUGUUUGAUGUUCUAACGUUGGCCCCUGACCGGGGUUGCGGACAGUGUCUGGUGGGUAGUUUGACUGGGGCGGUCUCCUCCCAAAGCGUAACGGAGGAGCACGAAGGUUAGCUAAUCCUGGUCGGACAUCAGGAGGUUAGUGCAAUGGCAUAAGCUAGCUUGACUGCGAGCGUGACGGCGCGAGCAGGUGCGAAAGCAGGUCAUAGUGAUCCGGUGGUUCUGAAUGGAAGGGCCAUCGCUCAACGGAUAAAAGGUACUCCGGGGAUAACAGGCUGAUACCGCCCAAGAGUUCAUAUCGACGGCGGUGUUUGGCACCUCGAUGUCGGCUCAUCACAUCCUGGGGCUGAAGUAGGUCCCAAGGGUAUGGCUGUUCGCCAUUUAAAGUGGUACGCGAGCUGGGUUUAGAACGUCGUGAGACAGUUCGGUCCCUAUCUGCCGUGGGCGCUGGAGAAUUGAGGGGGGCUGCUCCUAGUACGAGAGGACCGGAGUGGACGCAUCACUGGUGUUCGGGUUGUCAUGCCAAUGGCACUGCCCGGUAGCUAAAUGCGGAAGAGAUAAGUGCUGAAAGCAUCUAAGCACGAAACUUGCCCCGAGAUGAGUUCUCCCUGAGACUUUAAGUCUCCUGAAGGAACGUUGAAGACGACGACGUUGAUAGGCCGGGUGUGUAAGCGCAGCGAUGCGUUGAGCUAACCGGUACUAAUGAACCGUGAGGCUUAACCUU